GGGCCAAGAUUCUAAACUCAUAUAGAAUGUGCCAAAAAUUGAAAAUGAUGUUGGAUGUGCAAAAUGAAAAGGAGUGUGUAUUUUUUAUGCAAAAUCCUCUCAAAAGGCAAUACUUCAUGUUGGAUGUGCAAAAUGAAAAGGAGUGUGUAUUUUUUAUGCAAAAUCCUCUCAAAAGGCAAUACUUGCUUUCUAGCAUUUUAACGUUAGUCUGACUAGAUUAAGGGGAAGGGGAAGGGGAAGGGGAAGGGGAACUUCUCAACCUAAGAGACUGUACAAAUUCUUAUAAGAUAACCAUUUCUGCGGGAAGAAAGAGCUCAUCAUAACAGAUUCAGUUCCGAAACUUGAAAGAGCAAGACAAAAUAAAUUCUAUGGCGAACGAGAAGCUCCCAGAUUCAGUUCCGAAACUUGAAAGAGCAAGACAAAAUAAAUUCUAUGGCGAACGAGAAGCUCCCAGCUCGAAUAACAUACAUUGCCUUUCAUCAGAUGUACCAAUUCCUCUUUCCAAUAAUAAUAAUACAGCAAAAGAAAAAUUNNNNNNNNNNNNNNNNNNNNAAAAAAAAUAGUUAGGCCCUAGCUGCAAUAUAAUUAAUACCGAUUAAGCUUUAAAUGGAUCGAGGUAAAAAAUAAUUUAUAAAAUAAAUUUACUAAUCGAAAUUAUAUUCGAUGGAGAUUUUUCGAUGUCUAAAUUAAUGAGAAAUGGUGAACAAGAUAUUUAAUAUAGAAUUCAGUAAAAUUUUAGUCCAGAUAUCUCUUAUCAUUGUUAUUUUUUUACUUCUUUUUUAUAGACAAUUCUAGUAUAACUAUUGAAUACGUAGAGUUUUAUUUUUUAUGACACUAAAGGAUAGUUAAUCUCUAGUAUUAGACUAUAAUCAUAGAGUUAGUCAUCAGUUUAUGUACACUAAUGAUCGUGGCAUGUAGUUAUUACCUACGAUUGUGAUAUCAUGAUUGUAUAUUAGGCAGUCGAUCGUGACAAUUAGCCAUGAUGGUCAGUCGGUCAAGAGACAAUCGGUCAUUAUGAUGUUGGUUCAGUCAUGAAGAUGUUGCUUCGAUUAUAAUGAUCAAUCGGUCAUUAAGCAGUCAGUCAUGAAGAUGUUGCUUCGAUCAUGAUGGUCAGUCGGUCAUAAUGACUCUACUUUGAUCAUGGUGACUUUGCUUCGAUCAUGAUAGUUAGUCGGUCAUGAAAAUGGUGCUUCAGUCAUGAUGGUCAGCCGAUCAUGAUGACUGCUUCGAUCAUAAUGACUUUGCUUCGAUCAUGAUGGUCUGUCGAUCAUUAAGCAGUCGGCCAUAAAGAUGCUAUUUUGAUCAUGAUAGUCAGUCGGCCAUGAAGAUGCUGCUUCGAUCGUGAUAGUCAGUCAGUCAGUCAUGAUGGUCAAUCGACGAUGAAGAUGUUGCUUCGAUCAUGAUAGUCAGUCGGUCAUGAAGAUGCUGCUCAUGAAAGUUGAAUCGUGGAUGUUUUUUGCCUUCAGAGCCUUCUUUUUUGGGAUCUCUUGACUUUUCUUGUAUAGAUGUGGAGCAAAUGGCCGAUCUCGAAUCGAAGGAAGCAGAUUCGAUUAACCCAACAGUUAUUCCUCACUCCCAAGUCCAAAAUGAUCUGAUACGUUGGACAAUGGAAGUUAGUGUAUCUUCUGUUAUAACUUCGAGCUUCGAUUCUGCGAUCGUUUCAAUUGAUAAUGAAAAAAAAUUUUAAAUAUCUUUUUUCUUAAUAUGAUUAUUAUUGAUCGUUGAUGACUGUUGCUAAUUUAGUCGAAUAGCAAUCGAAUAUCUUUCAAUCGACUAAAAUCGGAUCAACAUAUUUUUCAUUCAAUCAUAGUCAAAUCGGCAUAUCUUUUAUCAGAUCAUAGUUGAGUCAGCAUACUAUUUUAUCCAAUUAUAAAAAAAAAUUUCCUAUCGCUAUUCCAUCUAACCGUAAAAAUUUUAUCCUUGCAAUAGGGAUUUGAAGGAUCCUUUGGAGUAUUAGUAACAGAUGGAGGAGAUGUCACGCUAUUGUGUGUUCUUUAUUUUUUUCCUCUUAAAUAAUUAUUUGGUGUAUAUAGGUAUAGGAAAGUGGAAGACGCCACCUCUAACGUGGAGAUGUCAAGCGGGAGAGGCCACCGCUAUCGUCGAUGGGGCCAAGAUUCUAAACUCAUAUCGAAUGUGCCAAAAAUUGAAAAUGAUGUUGGAUGUGCAAAAUGAAAAGGAGUGUGUAUUUUUUAUGCAAAAUCCUCUCACUGACUAGAUUAAGGGGAAGGGGAAGGGGAACUUCUCAACCUAAGACACUGUACAAAUUCUUAUAAGAUAACCAUUUCUGCGGGAAGAAAGAGCCCAUCAUAACAGAUUCAGUUCCGAAACUUGAAAGAGCAAGACAAAAUAAAUUCUAUGGCGAACGAGAAGCUCCCAGCUCGAAUAACAUACAUUGGCUUUCAUCACAUGUACCAAAUCCUCUUUCCAAUAAUAAUAAUACCGCAAAAGAAAAAUCNNNNNNNNNNNNNNNNNNNNGGUAGGAAUAAUGUAGUUCGCAUCUACCGACUGGUUUAUAUAAUUGAUAGGUUUUUUUUCGGUGAGAUACAUAAUUGAUAGGUUAUUAGCUACAGGGAGUAGGAAAGUGACAAGUGGAAAGCAAACAGAAAUUCUAGAAAGGGGAGACUUACACCGUCACAUGUUAUUUCCGUCAAGGUGGAAAAUUGUGGUUGUACUCGGGAGGAAGUACCAAUCAGCUACCGAAAAAGAAAAAAAGAUGGGUAUUGCAUGCACCAGGUGCAAUUGGACCGCGCAAAUUCCACGGUGGAUAACAUGCCAUGCGAUCCCUUGUAUUUCACUGUUUGCCGAUUGCGCGCUGUCCACCGUGCAUAUGCUUUGAAAUUUGUCCCGAUUCACUUGCAUCUGGUGCGAAUGAUGGAUAGCGCGCAAUCAAAAAUUGGUGAACAACAUAUUCUGGAGUUGCUGCAAUCCUCUCUUACCAUGGUUGUUCAUGUGGUUUAAUUAUUAUUUGGACCAAAUCCGAUGGACCACGUCAAAUCCCACGGUGGAUAACAAGCCACAUUACCCGCUUAUAUUUCACCAGUUCCCGAUUGUGCGUUAUCCACCGUGCAAAUGGUCUGAGAUUAGCCCAGGUCCACUUGGACUGGUCCAUGGAAUAGUGCCUGUGACAUAACAAGCUUCAUGCAAUGGAAGCCUCGCGGAUAAAAAUGCC
rnacentral:lncRNA from 1 species